GGAUCUAGAUGGGACGUGUGUCGAAGCUUCCCUUGUUAACGCCUAAGGCAGCCUUGAUAAGUGGAGAAGGAGAUCACGUUCUCAGCCUUGGAAAGGAGGCAGCUCAAUACUCAAUUUUCUUUGAGUAACAAAUACAAAUAUUGUCCACGGCUCCACUUAAUUUGAUAAUGAAAAUGGGGAUAGCCCUACUAACCCAAUUCGGCAAAUGAUGAUUUAUGGUCGUAGAAGAAGUGAACACGGAUUCCACUUAAUUUACGGAUGGAAAGUGGGGACAAUCCCACUUUCGGUAAAUGAUGAUUAAAUGGUCGUAGAAGAAGUGGACAUGGAUGCCAUUUAAUUUGUGAAUGGAAAGUGGGGACAAUCCCACUUCCACAAUUUUGGAAGUAGAAGUCCCAAAGUGGACGUCGGUAGGGUGGUGAUCUCAAUUCCACUAAUUUGAUGAAGGUGCACCAACCACGUAACAAUUCAUUUGGGGACCGAAAUGAUGGAAAUGAAGCCCGAUCCCCACUUUCACAAUUCAGCAAAAUUAAAGAACAACCACUUUGAAAUGGAAAAUGGGACAAAAAUAAUUAAUGAAGAUGGACUUAAUUUCCAAACAAGAAUGUAGAAUAAAAGGGGUGAUGGUGUUUAGUAUCAAGAUCGGCACAAAUAAGAAAUAUAGGGAGGCGGCGUCGAAGACAAGGGAGGAGUCCAAAGCUCUCUCAAAUCCCUUAUUUUUUUUAUUUCAACGUGUGGCCAACAAAACUAAUAUCCCAUAUAUAUUUGGGAACCCUAAACCUAGAUUUCUAAUAAAGGGAAACAAGGUAAAUAAAUACAAGCAAAUAAAAAUAAAAACAAAUAGCAAUAUAAACCCAAAGAUGAAACUUUAAGUUUUAGGAAGUCUCUUUACGCCAAGUAGACAAUGAUAAAAUCUUGAAGGUGGGUGUGGAAAUUGAGGACGCUUCAUUCCUUGCAAAGGCCUUAGCGACAAUGCUCGAAGUGGCUUGAGCAAUAGCUUUGGCUCAAGCCCUCGUGAUAGGUCCGUUUGAGCGAACUCUCAACAUGUCUUCCUCUUGAGCCUCCGUCAAUGUCAAUGGUGGAACUGCAUCACCUAACAUCCUAAGAAUAGUCCAUUAUCAUUGCCUAAACAAUCAAGGGAUAGAACCACAGGUACCUACCCCACACUCGAGUAUAACACUGCCUAUAGUGUUAGAAAAAUAAAAUCGGGUAUAGUACAUAACUAGUACAUCAGAAAAAUGAAGAUCAUAUUAAAUCUAUAUAUCAAGAAGGCAAAGUAAAGUGUUCCACUAAAAUAACAUAACAUGAAAGCAAAAUGAAAGACAAUAAAAUAAAAUGAAAAUGCAAUAAGAAACGAAAAUAAAGUAAAAUAAAAAUAAAAAUAAAGAAAGAAAAUAAAAAGGAAAAGGAAAAAAAAUUGAGCAUAAAUUUUUAUCAUUGCUGGUAGUCUGCCGAAGGCGCAUCCUCACUAGCUAGAUCGACUGGAGGGUGAGUAGGGGAAGGUGCUGAAAGAGGGGGCGGUGGUGGUGGCACAAGGUCCGUGAAGCAACCUGCUAGAUCGAACUCCAUAUCAUCGAUGAAUCAUUGAUUUUAUGCUCCGGUCUCCAUCAUCUUUUGUAUCUGCUCUGCCAUGAAUCGCUGAUUUUGUGCUCCGAUCUCCAUCAUCUUUUGUAUCUGCUCUGCCAUUAGGUCUAGCUGGAUCGGCUGGAGGGUGAGUAGGGGAAGGUGCUGAAGGAAUGGGCGAUGGUGGUGGCACAGGGUCCGUGAAGCAACCUGCUAGAUCGAACUCCAUAUAAUCGAUGAAUCGUUGAUUUUGUGCUCCAAUCUCCAUCAUCUUUUGUAUCUGCUCUGCCAUUAGGUCUGUCUAGGUGGCCUGCCUAUCCAGCCCAUGCAUAAGCUGCUGGAGCAUAUCGUUUAAACCCUGAAAUUGUACCCUAGUCUCCUCUUGAAACUGCCCAAACUCCUUUCUGUGCUGCACAAACUCAGUAUAGUGUUGCUGCUAUAAAUC
rnacentral:lncRNA from 1 species